rnacentral:rRNA from 1 species
CCUACGGGCGGCAGCAGUGGGGAAUAUUGGGCAAUGGAGGAAACUCUGACCCAGCAACGCCGCGUGAAUGAUGAAGGUCUUCGGAUUGUAAAGUUCUUUUCUAAGGGAAGAAGAAAGUGACGGUACCCUAGGAAUAAGCCUCGGCAAACUACGUGCCAGCACACGCGGUAAUACGUAGGAGCGAGCGCUAUCCGGAAUGACUGGGCGUAAAGGGUGCGUAGGUGGUUCGGCAAGUGAGUAGCGUAACUCCAGGGCUCAACCUUGGAACUACUACUAAAACUGUUGGACUGGAGUGCAGGAGAGGCAACCGGAAUUCCUGGUGUAGCGGUGGAAUGCGUAGAUAUUGGGAGGAACACCAGUGGCGAAGGCGGGUUGCUGGACUGUAACUGACGCUGAGGCACGAAAGCGUGGGGAGCAAACAGGAUUAGAUACCCGGGUAGUC